rnacentral:rRNA from 1 species
UACGUAGGGUGCAAGCGUUGUCCGGAAUUAUUGGGCGUAAAGAGCUCGUAGGCGGUCUGUCGCGUCUGCUGUGAAAAUCCAGGGCUCAACCCUGGACCUGCAGUGGGUACGGGCAGACUAGAGUGCGGUAGGGGAGAUCGGAAUUCCUGGUGUAGCGGUGAAAUGCGCAGAUAUCGGGAGGAACACCAGUGGCGAAGGCGGCUUCCUGGCCUGCUCUUGACGCUGAGGCGCGAAAGCUAGGGUAGCAAACGGG